rnacentral:rRNA from 1 species
CCCUUAGAUGUUCUGGGCGGCCCGCGCACUACAAUGGCGCUUUCAGCGAGUUCCUAUGUUGAAUUUUCCUGGGUAUUCUUGGAAGCGGCGUCUUGACUUGGGAUAGAUCCUUGUAAUUGUUGGUUUUGAACGAGGAAUUCCUUGUAAUCGCGGUUGAUCAGCUCGCGUUGAAUACGUCCCUGCCCUUUGUACACACCGCCCGUCGCUCCUACCGAUGAAUCGUCCGGUGAAGUUCACAUAGUGGCGGUUCGUGGAGUUGCUCGCGAAGUGAAAUGGACCUCACGAUUUAGAGGAAGGAGAAGUCGUAACA